UUAUCGCGUAAAUGCGAAGGUCAGAGAAAGAGUAGGUAACAAACGAAUAAUAUUUACGACACCAGCACGAUCCUCGGUAUGGAUCAUGCGCAGCGAUAGUGCGCUAGACGAAGAAACAAAAUAUUUUUAUUGAGGCAAUUAGCCAAGUUUAGGUUCGUCCCUUAUCGCAUGAAACGUGCGAAAGGCCGAAGAAGGAAAAGGACGUGUAAGAUGAAAUGUUUAUUUAAGUUUAUUUAGGUAUUGAACCCUCUAGUGAGGGCGAAGGACCACAAAACAAGCGGAUAGAAUUAGGCAGGCAAACCGACACUGUCUCGGUUGUCUGAGUAGGGGAGGGAGAUGUUUUAUCUCUCUCACAAAUUUAGGCUGGGUAAGAAUUUCGGGUAUAAAAACUGAAGAUUGCCUAGAAAAGUUAGUUCAAAUUCAUUCAAUCCAAAGGUAUAAACCUUUGGACAAGUUCAAUCAAAAGUCAAAAAGCACAGUUCAAUUCAUAACAAUCGAGGAAGUGUUAUCGUUCGCCACGUUGGGUAAUGUGCAAAAACUGAGCUGUGCUUCUCUGUUUGCACCAACCAACGGUUCGCACUGGUGAAUUGAAGAAGAGCGGAUUGAUCCGAAAACCACCAUCCAAGCGUUGGCAAUCAGGUGCCACACACCAGAAAUAAAUGGUAUACAAACAAAAAUAUCCCAAACGAAAGUAAUUGCGAGUUUCACUCGGACGGACCAAUCUGGAGCCGUCUGAUACUGAAACGUAUUUGUGAUUACGGGGUAUUUUUGACCGGGCUUAGCCCUCAAGAGACCACUUCUAAACAAGUCCAGAGAAAUAGGUUCCCUGGCUCCAUUAACACCAGGUGGCUCCAUUCUUGGAGAAAACUACCAGUUCCGGAUAACGUGAUUCUAAUGCCUAAAUUGCCGAUAUCUAGGGAAAUAAAUUCCCUAGAUAAAAUUACGAGAAACUCGAGAGAGGACGAGCUAAAAGUCUUGCUUCAAUAGCAAGCAUCUAGGGAAUUUCGAGUUCCCUAGAUCACAACCCCCUUAAGGUUAGGGACUAUUUCUUCGACAGAUCCAUCGAUUCGUCGGCAAUCAAACUGAAAAGAUUGCUUCGCAAAUGACUAAUGGGCUCCUUGUGUUGACCAUCUUCGAGAACAUUCGUGAUCACAGCAGCCAUUUUUGUGCUUCUCAGUCGCAGCAUGCUUCAAGAAAUCCUUCAGUCCUCCGAGACACAUGUCAUGGAACAUGUCCUUACUACAUACUUUGUAAAAACCAGCAUGCUUAUCGAUACUCUGAGAAUACCCUUCGGUGAAAUCAGUGAUGCCAUUUUGAACAACUGUUUCAAUAAAAUUAGCACAAACUAACUUUUCAGACCAACUUAAAAAAGUGAAAUGUGAUUGCAGUUUUUUUUAAAUCUGGGGGGAAAGCUGAACUAGAUAAAGGACAGUCUGGAUAUCUGGAUGCUUUACUAAAGUCUGGGAGAUUUCAGAAAAAAUCUGGACGUCUGGCUACCGUGGUUUGAGCGAGUGAACUUGACAUCAUUUUCCCAUCAAAAUUCAACAAAAUGUAAUGUGAAAUCACAAAUAAUAAUUUAAGUGUAAAUAUAUUAAUACAAAUUACUCACAAAUACUGGAGAAGGCAA